GACCCUAACUCCCCGGCUCCCGCACUCCCCAGGCGCACCACAUUUCAGCACGACGGACAGCGCAGCACUGGGGCGCGACUGGGGAGGCGGGGACCAAUACCACGCUGUUUCAGCCCGGCUUUUUCAAAUCUCUCGGGUCUCCGCCCUCAUUUCCGUGCAUUUUCGAAACGACUCUCACAGCAACCGAAGUCACAAAAACACACUGACAGAAAACGGGGAAGCUCCAGGGUUCGCUUACCGUCUGACAAGUCAAUCAGCCCGAGGCAAUUUCUCCAAAGGUUUAACCAGUCCCUAAUCUUCUGCUAGCUGAUCGUAACCAUCACUGGCAACAUCUCUUGGCAUAUUCUCUCGGCAACUCAGAGAAAACGUGUGUCAGUGUAGACCAUUUCAAAGACAUACAGAAAGAGCCCCAUUGCUUUAGAUCGCAGAUAGAUGGAGAGAUGAAAGAUACUUUUUCAAAGGGACAACAAUUUGUCUUUACUUCCCAGUGAAAAACCCGACAAGCUGGUCUGGAACAUAUGUGGUCCCUGCUUUGACACAGUGAAAUGUCCCUGGAAACUGUACCACCAGGAAAGCUAUGGAUGCCAUGCUACAAUUCCAGAUCCCAUCUGCCCAGAAGAAAACCUGAGAAAUUCACCUGCCCAGAGGUUUUUCUGACUUACUGUGUUUCCUCUCCUCUGGGGCCCUAGCAAGUGUAAUAAUUAACCCACCGUGCUUAAUGGGAUUUUAGGCAUUCACAUACCCAGAUAUACGGAACUAAAUUAGAAGCAGGAAGACCUCCAUGUUUCUGAGUCUGCUGGAGGACACACCCUGGCUCCUGGCCUCUUGGCCUGCAGUCUGCUGGAGGGAGAAGUGCGCAGGGGCCCAGCGAGCAGACCACCUGAGGAUGGCCAGAUGGAAUCGCUGCUCCAACCACAGAUGCUGGGACAGGGAGUGCAAUCAUCAGAAAAACUUCAGAUAAGACCCAGUUGAGGGACAUUCUACAGUCAUCUGCCCAAUAUCUCCUUAACAUUGUCAAGGUCAUCAAAACAGAGGGAAGCCUAAGAAACUGUCAUAGCCAAGAGGAGUCUAAGGAGACACGCCUACUAAAUGGAAUGUGGGAACCUGAACUAGAAGAAGGACUUCAAAUAAAAACUAAGGAAGUCUGAGACACUGAGCUGAUCACCACUGGGCAGCAACAAUGCUUGCUGAAGCCUCAGUCCAGCCAGGGGGAGAGUUUCCCCAAUUCCUCAUGGACACACGGCGAGAUGCAAAAUUCCAAUUCCAGAAACUCUGAC